UGAGGAAUAUUGGUCAAUGGGCGAGAGCCUGAACCAGCCAAGUAGCGUGCAGGAUGACGGCCCUAUGGGUUGUAAACUUCUUUUAUAUGGGAAUAAAGAGAGGGACGUGUCCCUUAUUGCAUGUACCAUACGAAUAAGGACCGGCUAAUUCCGUGCCAGCAGCCGCGGUAAUACGGAAGGUCGAGGCGUUAUCCGGAUUUAUUGGGUUUAAAGGGAGAGUAGGCUGUUUGUUAAGCGUGUUGUGAAAUGUAAGAGCUCAACUUUUAGAUUGCAGCGCGAACUGGCAGACUUGAGUGCGCACAACGUAGGCGGAAUUCAUGGUGUAGCGGUGAAAUGCUUUGAUAUCAUUACGAACUCCGAUUGCGAAGGCAGCUUACGGGAACGCUACUGACGCUAAAGCUCGAAGGUGCGGGUAUCUAACAGG
rnacentral:rRNA from 1 species